rnacentral:lncRNA from 1 species
CUUUCAAACUGAAAGAAUUUAUAAUCUAAUUUAUUAAUAUUCUCUGGAAAAGACAAAGAUACAACAGUAUGCCUGUUUAGAAAGUAUUUCAUAACUCACUCAGGGGAAAAACCUUACCUCAUUUCGGGAAAAAAUUGGGAUUUUGCCCUGUCCUUAUGUGCUAUUUUCCGUAGUAUUUUUCCAGUAGUACUUCUCCAAAUCAAGCUAGGGACAGUUCAGCUUCAAGUUUUAUUGACAUUUUUUGUGGGCAUGAAAUGCUUUUUUUAAUACCUUACUUUAACUCAUUUUGUGUAUUUCUAUGGGAUUCCUAUUUCUUUUCUGAAGAAAGGAGAAAAAGUCAUUAACUUAGAGAAGUUCAGACUUUUCAGAAGGUCAUGAAUCUGACAAGCCAGAAGCAAUGGAUCCUUCUCCAUCUGCCUUUUAUUUCCAGCACAUUUAUACAACCUUCAAGUCUUUGUUUUUCAAAUCUCAGGGAGAGCUACGCAUCCUGGAGUCAAUUGAUGGUUAUCAGGAAGGUGUUUUCAGCUAUUUUCAAAAUACCUUGCAUCUAUGGAACGUGUGUGUAUUUUUGGGUAAUGGCUACUGGACAUCUCCUUGCUUCCUGGUUAUGCCAGGAGUGCCUUUUUCCCUUCAGUACGAUUCCUUCAAACAUUUUGAUGCUUAGGAAGCUAAAUGAGAGAUGGAUUCCUGGGUCAAAGGCAUAUGAGCGUGUUUCCUCACUGGAGAAGCUGUUCAGGAAGGGCUGCAGGGUUCCAGGAUCACCCUCCCUCUUCAUCCAGGCCAACUCAUCUCACGAAGUAGACUUGUCUCUCAACUAAACUUAGUAGCUAUGAGACUUCUGUAAUGAAUUACUGGCAUAUCAUUGCCAUUCUUUCCAGGAUGAAUCACAGAGGCAAAUUGGAAUCUUUUGCCUUUUAAUUAUACGUACUUCCAAUUAUUUACGAAGUCCUAUUUUAUCUCAUAUUUUUCUCAUCAUUAAUUUUUUUUGAUGUACUGAUGCCCUAGGUCAGGUUCUCAUAAUCUCAAGCCGAGUGUCUUCAGUGAGUUCUACUUAUUUCUUAUCCAGUUUGUUCUGCAGAUUUCGCUCAACCCAGACUCUUCACCAGAUUCAUGUCUCUUGGCAGCAUACCCUACCCUGGGCCCAAACAUUAAACUCACUACUCAAUCUCUAUUAUUGUUAUUACAUGGGACUAUAGAAAAAAUUGCCAAAGUUUUCACAAAACACUAGACCUUUUGUGUAAAUCUUUUUGAGAAAACAACUUGCUUUGAUUGAAGGAGGGAAGGCAUGCUUCCAAGGAAUGGAAGGCAUGGAAUAACUAGUUUCGAAAUUUAUAUGUUGGAUGUGGAAAUCACGGGAUGAGUGAAGGAAAGGAGGUAUUUAUUUGGAUAGAAAAUUCACUUUACAAGUUCUAAAUAAUUGAGUUUAAGAUGGUUUAAAGGAGGCUUUGGCUUUCAUCACCUGAAAGUUCUCCAUGAAACCAUUGCCUUUAAUGUGUCUGAUACCAAGAAAUAUUGAAUACACUGGCACUGAAAACGGCACACUUCCUGAGACGUUGUUGCCAUUAGUAUCACCUCUUUUUUUUUUCUUUUUGUCUUUUCUGAGGCCGCACCCGCGGCAAGUGGAAAUUCCCAGGCUAAGAGUCCAAUUGGAACUGUAGCCGCCGGCCUAUGCCACAACCACAGAAAUGCCAGAUUUGAGCCACGUCUAUGACCUACACCACAGCUCACAGCAACGCCGGAUCCUUAACCCACUGAGCAAGGCUAGGGAUCGAACCUGCAACCUCAUGGUUCCUAGUCGGAUUCGUUAACCACUGAGCCAUGACGGGAACUCCUAGUAUCACAUCUUAUGAUUAGAAAAUUUUAAAUGUUUCUUCAUUCAGAUAUUCUUCAUUCAUCAAAAUAUUUAAUGCAUGUUUAUUUCAUAUCAAGCACAGAGCAAGUAGGUGAUAAAAUCAAAGUUUGUAUCCGAUCUUCGACAUAACAAAUGCUGGAGAGGGUAUGGAGAAAAGGGAACCCUCCUACACUGUUGGGAAUGUAAAUUUGUACAACCGCUAUGGAUAAAAGUGUGGAGGUACCUCAGAAAAUUAAAUAUAGAACUACCACAUGACCCAGCAAUCCCACUCUUGGGCAUAUAUCCAGACAAAACUCUCCUUGAAAAAGAUACAUGCACCCAAAUGUUCAUUGUAGUACUAUUCACAAUAGCCAAGACAGGGAAACAACGUACAUGGACAGAUGAAUGGAUUAAGAAGAUGUGGUACAUAUAAACAAUGGAAUACUACUCAGCUAUAAAAAAGAACAAAAUAAUAUCAUUUGCAGCAACAUGGAUGGAACUAGAGAUUCUAAUAUUAAGUGAAGUCAGUAAGAAAGAGAAAUACAAAUACCCUAUGAUGUCACUUAUCUGGAAUUUAAUAUGUGGCAAAAGUGAACAGGAAAGAAACUCAUGGACUUGGAGAACAGACUUGUGGUUGCCAAGGGGAAGGGAGAGGGAGUGGGAUGGACUGGGGGUCUGGGGUUAAUAGAUGCAAACUAUUGCAUUUGGAGUAGAUAAGUAAUGAGAUCCUGCCGUAUAGCACAGGGAACUCUAUUCAGCCACUUGUGAUGGAGCAUGAUGGAUGAUAAUAUGAGAAAAAGAAUAAAUAUAUAUGUAUAUGUAUGUAUGACUGUGUCACUUUGCUGUACAAUAAAAAUUGACAGAACACUGUAAAUCAGCUAUAAUGGAAAAAAUAAAAAUCAUUAUAUAUAUAAAAAAAGUUUGUAUCAGAUCUUCUAUACCAAAGCUAGCAUUUAAUAUAUUACAGUAGGAAGACUUUUCCUAAGCACAUGCCCCAGAGUAAAACUAUUUUGCUCUUUUCCAUUGUAGAGUAAUAAUAACAUUAUUCCUAAUCAACUAUAAUCACAACUUUAAAUGAAGGCAGUCAGAUUUAUAAAGCCUACAUACUAAAACAGAGCAACAAAUACUUCUGAUUCUUGGGCAAUUGUGGGACAGAAUGAAGGACAAUGGAUCAUCUAAGUAUAUGAUUCGUUGAGAUGGUUUCAUAGAUAUUUGUUUUUAGUAUUCUACAUGUAGCAAAAAUUUGAAAGCUUCUUCAUAAGCAGAUUCUUUUUUAAAAAAGUUAUAGUUAUUUAUUGAUUGAUUUUCCUUAUUUAUUUACUUACAUUUGCUUUUUCAGGGCUGCCCCUGCAGCACACAGAGGUUCCUAGGCUAGGGGUCCAAUUGGAGCUGUAGCUGGCAGUCUAUGCCACAGCCACAGCAACGCCAGAUCCAAGCCAUGCCUGCAUCCUAUACUGCAGCUCAUAGCAACACUGGAUCCUUAACCCACUGAGCGAGGGCAUCCAUCAUCCUCAUGGAUACUAGUUGGGUUUUUAACCUGCUGAGCCACAAUGGGA